rnacentral:rRNA from 1 species
UACAGAGGUCUCAAGCGUUGUUCGGAUUCAUUGGGCGUAAAGGGCGCGUAGGCGGGCGGGGUAAGUCUGGUGUGAAAUCUCGGAGCUCAACUCCGAAAUUGCACUGGAUACUGCUCUGCUAGAGGGCUGGAGAGGAGAUCGGAAUUCACGGUGUAGCAGUGAAAUGCGUAGAUAUCGUGAGGAAGACCAGUGGCGAAGGCGGAUCUCUGGACAGCUCCUGACGCUGAGGCGCGAAGGCUAGGGGAGCAAACGGG